CCUACGGGUGGCUGCAGUGGGGAAUAUUGCACAAUGGGCGCAAGCCUGAUGCAGCCAUGCCGCGUGUGUGAAGAAGGCCUUCGGGUUGUAAAGCACUUUCAGCGGGGAGGAAGGCGGUGAGGUUAAUAACCUCAUCGAUUGACGUUACCCGCAGAAGAAGCACCGGCUAACUCCGUGCCAGCAGCCGCGGUGAAUACGGAGGGUGCAAGCGUUAAUCGGAAUUACUGGGCGUAAAGCGCACGCAGGCGGUCUGUCAAGUCGGAUGUGAAAUCCCCGGGCUCAACCUGGGAACUGCAUUCGAAACUGGCAGGCUAGAGUCUUGUAGAGGGGGGUAGAAUUCCAGGUGUAGCGGUGAAAUGCGUAGAGAUCUGGAGGAAUACCGGUGGCGAAGGCGGCCCCCUGGACAAAGACUGACGCUCAGGUGCGAAAGCGUGGGGAGCAAACAGGAUUAGAUACCCUAGUAGUC
rnacentral:rRNA from 1 species